rnacentral:piRNA from 1 species
UCAGCAAGGUUGAAAUUGGGAAUGUCCUU